GUACAAAGAGCUCUCACUUCAGCUGCACAUGCAUUAAAAUUGGAAUGACACCGAGAAGAUGAGCAGGGCCCCUGUGCAGGGAUGACACAAAUUUGGGAAGUGUUCCGUAUUUUU
ensembl:snRNA U6 U6 spliceosomal RNA